rnacentral:rRNA from 1 species
GGGUGACCUGCGGAGGGAUCAUUA